CCUACGGGCGGCAGCAGUGAGGAAUAUCGGUCAAUGGGCGAAAGCCUGAACCAGCCAAGUCGCGUGAGGGAUGAAGGUUCUAUGGAUCGUAAACCUCUUUUAUAAGGGAAUAAAGUGUGGGACGUGUCCUAUUUUGUAUGUACCUCAUGAAUAAGGAUCGGCUAACUCCGUGCCAGCAGCCGCGGUAAUACGGAGGAUCCGAGCGUUAGCCGGAUUUAUUGGGGUUAAAGGGUGCGUAGGCGGCCUUUUAAGUCAGCGGUGAAAGUCUGUGGCUCAACCAUGGAAUUGACGUUGGGACUGGGGGGCUAGAGUGUGUUAGGGGCAGGCGGAAUGCGUGGUGUAGCGGUGAAAUGCUUAGAUAUCACGCAGAACCCCGAUUGCGAAGGCAGCCUGCCAGGCCAUGACUGACGCUGAUGCACGAAAGCGUGGGGAUCAAACAGGAUUAGAUACCCCGGUAGUC
rnacentral:rRNA from 1 species